rnacentral:piRNA from 1 species
UAAUGUGGUGAUGCCGGUUCAUUGUGAGC